UGGGGAAUAUUGGACAAUGGGCGCAAGCCUGAUCCAGCCAUGCCGCGGGAGUGAUGAAGGCCCUAGGGUUGUAAAGCUCUUUCACCGGUGAAGAUAAUGACGGUAACCGGAGAAGAAGCACCGGCUAACUUCGUGCCAGCAGCCGCGGUAAUACGAAGGGGGCUAGCGUUGUUCGGAUUUACUGGGCGUAAAGCGCACGUAGGCGGACUUUUAAGUCAGGGGUGAAAUCCCGGGGCUCAACCCCGGAACUGCCUUUGAUACUGGAAGUCUUGAGUAUGGUAGAGGUGAGUGCAAUUCCGGGUGCAGAGGUGAAAUUCAGAGAUAUUCGGAGGAACACCAGUGGCGAAGGCGGCUCACUGGACCAUUACUGACGCUGAGGUGCGAAAGCGUGGGUAGCAAACUGC
rnacentral:rRNA from 1 species